GGAGGGUGCAAGCGUUAUCCGGAUUCACUGGGUUUAAAGGGAGCGCAGGCGGACCUGUAAGUCAGUGGUGAAAUACCUGAGCUUAACUCGGGAACUGCCAUUGAUACUAUCGGUCUUGAAUGUUGUUGAGGUUUGCGGAAUGGGUCAUGUAGCGGUGAAAUGCAUAGAUAUGACCCGGAACACCUAUUGCGAAGGCAGCAGGCUAAACAAAUAUUGACGCUGAGGCUCGAAAGCGUGGGGAUCAAACAGGAUUAGAUACCCUGGUAGUCCACGCCCUAAACUAUGAUUACUCGACAUACGCGAUACACUGUGUGUGUCUGAGCGGAAGCAUUAAGUAAUCCACCUGGGAAGUACGACCGCAAGGUUG
rnacentral:rRNA from 1 species